rnacentral:rRNA from 1 species
GACGGACGCUGGCGGCGUGCUUAACACAUGCAAGUCGAACGGAAAGGCCCUGCUUUUGUGGGGUGCUCGAGUGGCGAACGGGUGAGUAACACGUGAGUAACCUGCCCUUGACUUUGGGAUAACUUCAGGAAACUGGGGCUAAUACCGGAUAGGAGCUCCUGCUGCAUGGUGGGGGUUGGAAAGUUUCGGCGGUUGGGGAUGGACUCGCGGCUUAUCAGCUUGUUGGUGGGGUAGUGGCUUACCAAGGCUUUGACGGGUAGCCGGCCUGAGAGGGUGACCGGCCACAUUGGGACUGCGAUACGGCCCAGACUCCUACGGGAGGCAGCAGUGGGGAAUAUUGCACAAUGGGCGGAAGCCUGAUGCAGCAACGCCGCGUGCGGGAUGACGGCCUUCGGGUUGUAAACCGCUUUCGCCUGUGACGAAGCGUGAGUGACGGUAAUGGGUAAAGAAGCACCGGCUAACUACGUG